rnacentral:other from 1 species
CAAACCCUGCUGUGUGCGUGAUGUCUGGAGAGAGGUUUGAGCCAACACCCGUACAAAGGGAGUCGAUCUCCAGAGGGGAUGCGAUAGCCCCGGAGAGGGCAAGGCAAUAACCGAUGGGUAGACACCCACCUGUUUCGACAGGUUCAAAACCAACAGGACACACGGCACAGCGGGGAUUUG